rnacentral:rRNA from 1 species
UGAACGCUGGCGGCGUGCCUUAGGCAUGCAAGUGGAACGGUCCCGCUUCGGCGGGAUAGUCGCGAACGGCUGAGUAACACGUAAGAAUCUACCUUUUGGUGUGGAAUACCUCGUCGAAAGACGGGCUAAUACCGCAUAAGGUGCUUGCACGAAAGGGCUUAACUGCCCGCCGAAAGAUGAGCUUGCGGCCCAUCAGCUUGUUGGUAGGGUAAUGGCCUACCAAGGCUAUGACGGGUAGGGGACGUGAGAGCGUGGCCCCCCAGAAUGGGACUGAGACACGGCCCAUACACCUACGGGUGGCAGCAACUAGGAAUCGUGCGCAAUGGACGAAAGUCUGACGCCGCGACGCCGCGUGAGGGAUGAAGGCCUUUGGGUUGUAAACCUCUUUUGCCAAGAAGUAAAUGUCUUGGAGAAUAAGCAUCCGCUAACUACGUGCCAGCAGCUGCGGUGAUACGUAGGAUGCAAGCGUUGCCCGGAUUUAUUGGGCGUAAAGCGUUUCGUAGGCUUUUUUGUAAGUUGUGUUUCAAAGCCCGGGGCUCAACCUCGGAAAGGGGCACAAUACUGCAGGAAUUGAAGGGUCUAGGGGCUACUGGAACUAUCGGUGUAGGGGUGAAAUCCGUUGAUAUCGAUAGGAACACCAAGGGCGUAGGCAAGUAGCUGGGGACUUUUUGACGCUGAGGAACGAAAGCUAGGGGAGCGAAAGGGAUUAGAGACCCCUGUAGUCCUAGCCGUAAACGAUGCUCGCUAGUCGGGUGCCGCAAGGUGCCUGACGCAAGUUGACACGUUAAGCGAGCCGCCUGGGGAGUACGAGCGCAAGCUUAAAACUCAAAGGAAUUGACGGGGACCCGCACAACCAGUGGAGCAUGUGGUUUAAUUCGAGACGAAACGAAGAACCUUACCUGGACUUGACAUGCUAUCGUUUUAGUUUUUUAGAAAUAAGAGACGAUCCGCAAUUUGUGGAAGAUAGCACAGGUGCUGCAUGGCUGUCGUCAGCUCGUGCCGUGGGGUGUUCCCUUCAGUGGGGUAACGAGCGCAACCCCUGUCCUGAGUUAAAUAUUCUCAGGAGACUCCCUCGCUUUUGCGGGGGGGAAGCGGGGACGACGUCAAGUCAGCAUGGCCCUUAUGUUCAGGGCAACACACAUACUACAAUGGAGCCGACAAUGGGUUGCCAAGUGGUAACACGGAGCUAAUCCCAUCAAACGGCUUCUCAGUGGGGAUUGAGGGCUGCAACUCGCCCUCAUGAACGUGGAAUUGGUAGUAAUCGGCAGUCAGCUAUAUGCCGGUGAAUACGUUCUCGGGUCUUGUACACACCGCCCGUCAAGUUAGUGAAGUUGGGGGCACCCGAAUUCCCGUCGUACGGGAGCAAGGUGAAACCAGCGAC